rnacentral:tRNA from 1 species
GACUUAAAAUCCGUUGGCUUUAUGACCGUGAGGGUUCAAGUCCCUCUACCCCCA